rnacentral:rRNA from 1 species
UUAAGUGAAUAAGGGCGCACGGUGGAUGCCUUGGUACUAGGAGCCGAAGAAGGACGGAACUAACACCGAUAUGCUUUGGGGAGCUGUAAGUAAGCUAAGAUCCAAAGAUUUCCGAAUGGGGGAACCCAACACCUUUCAUAGGGUGUUACCAAUGAGUGAAUACAUAGCUCAUUAGGAGGUACACGCAGGGAACUGAAACAUCUCAUUACCUGCAGGAAGAGAAAGAAAAAUCGAUUCCCUGAGUAGCGGCGAGCGAAACGGGAGGAGCCCAAACCAACGAGCUUGCUUGUUGGGGUUGUAGGACUAGAACGUGAGAAGAAAUCAAGAUAGCAGAAGUGGUCUGGAAAGGCCCAUCAAAGAAGGUGACAAUCCUGUACGCGACAUUUUGAUGAACUCUACUAGCAUCCUGAGUACGGCGGGACACGAGGAAUCCCGUCGGAAUCCGCCAGGACCAUCUGGCAAGGCUAAAUACUACCUAGUGACCGAUAGUGAACCAGUACCGUGAGGGAAAGGUGAAAAGAACCCCGGGAGGGGAGUGAAAGAGUACCUGAAACCGUGUGCUUACAAGUAGUCAGAGCCCGUUAAUGGGUGAUGGCGUGCCUUUUGUAGAAUGAACCGGCGAGUUACGUUUACAUGCGAGGUUAAGAUGAAGAGUCGGAGCCGUAGCGAAAGCGAGUCUGAAUAGGGCGCAUGUAGUAUGUGGACGUAGACCCGAAACCAAGUGAUCUACCCAUGUCCAGGUUGAAGGUGCGGUAAAACGCACUGGAGGACCGAACCAGGGCACGUUGAAAAGUGCUUGGAUGAGGUGUGGGUAGCGGAGAAAUUCCAAUCGAACUUGGAGAUAGCUGGUUCUCUCCGAAAUAGCUUUAGGGCUAGCCUCGGAAUCAAGAAUCGUGGAGGUAGAGCACUGUUUGGACUAGGGGCCCAUCUCGGGUUACCGAAUUCAGAUAAACUCCGAAUGCCAUGUAUUUAUAUCCGGGAGUCAGACUGCGAGUGAUAAGAUCCGUAGUCGAAAGGGAAACAGCCCAGACCACCAGCUAAGGUCCCAAAAUAUCUGUUAAGUGGAAAAGGAUGUGGGGUUGCACAGACAACUAGGAUGUUGGCUUAGAAGCAGCCAUCAUUCAAAGAGUGCGUAAUAGCUCACUAGUCGAGUGACCCUGCGCCGAAAAUGUAACGGGGCUAAACAGAUUACCGAAGCUGUGGAUUGGACCUUAUGGUCCAGUGGUAGGAGAGCGUUCUAAGGGCGGUGAAGCAUGAUCGUAAGGACAUGUGGAGCGCUUAGAAGUGAGAAUGCCGGUAUGAGUAGCGAAAGACGGGUGAGAAUCCCGUCCACCGAAUAACUAAGGUUUCCUGGGGAAGGCUCGUCCUCCCAGGGUUAGUCGGGACCUAAGGCGAGGCCGAUAGGCGUAGUCGAUGGACAACAGGUUGAUAUUCCUGUACUUCUAUAAAUCGUUUGAGCAAUGGAGGGACGCAGGAGGCUAAGAAAAGCGUACGACUGGAAGUGUACGCCCAAGCAGUGAGUCGGCUGAUGAGUCAAAUGCUUAUCACGGAUGCGACAAGCUGUGACGGGGAGGGAAGUUUAGUACCGAAGUUUCUGAUGUCACACUGCCGAGAAAAGCUUCUAGCAAGAUUUAUAGGACCCGUACCGCAAACCGACACAGGUAGUUGAGGAGAGAAUCCUAAGGUGAGCGAGCGAACUCUCGUUAAGGAACUCGGCAAAAUGACCCCGUAACUUCGGGAGAAGGGGUGCUGGUAGCAAUACCAGCCGCAGUGAAUAGGCCCAGGCGACUGUUUAUCAAAAACACAGGUCUCUGCAAAAUCGAAAGAUGACGUAUAGGGGCUGACGCCUGCCCGGUGCUGGAAGGUUAAGAGGAGAGGUUAGCGCAAGCGAAGCUUUGAAUUGAAGCCCCAGUAAACGGCGGCCGUAACUAUAACGGUCCUAAGGUAGCGAAAUUCCUUGUCGGGUAAGUUCCGACCCGCACGAAAGGCGUAACGAUCUGGGCACUGUCUCAACGAGAGACUCGGUGAAAUUAUAGUACCUGUGAAGAUGCAGGUUACCCGCGACAGGACGGAAAGACCCCAUGGAGCUUUACUGUAGUUUGAUAUUGAGUGUUUGUGUCACAUGUACAGGAUAGGUAGGAGCUGAAGAAUCCGGGACGCCAGUUUCGGAGGAGGCAACGGUGGGAUACUACCCUUGUGACAUGACCACUCUAACCCGCACCCCUUACCGGGGUGGGAGACAGUGUCAGACGGGCAGUUUGACUGGGGCGGUCGCCUCCUAAAGUGUAACGGAGGCGCCCAAAGGU